rnacentral:lncRNA from 1 species
UAAUUCUUCUUCUCAGUAAUGACUUCAUGGGUAAUAUUUUCACCCAAACCCUAAUAUUCAUAUGAACCCUAAAUCUGAAUUGGUUAUUGUUUGUUACAAUUGCCGUUGCAAAUUCCAAUUUCUCAUGGUUGAUUCUUCAAAUUUCAUGCUCAAUUUACAAUGGUUAAAGUUCUGGUAUAUGAUAAGCUUAAUUACUCUUUUGGUCCCUUAAUUUAUUUUUUGGUUUCGUUUUGGUCCCUUUACUAUUAAAAGUUUCAUUUUGGUCCCUUAAUUUACUUUUUGGUUUCGUUUUGGUCCCUUGACUAUUAAAAGUUUCGUUUUGGUCCCUUAACUUACUUUUUGGUUUCGUUUUGGUCCCUUAACUCUUCCUCCGUCAACCACUUUGGUCCUUUAUGUUAGGAUGAAUGAAUGUAGGCUUAAAUGCUCUUUUGGUGCCUUAACUAUUUAAUUGGUAUCGCUUUGGGCCCUUAACUAAAAAAAAGAUUGUUUGAGGAUUUUAAGUUUUUUUUUCAGUCUCGUUUUGGUCCCUUCUGUUAGGUUUCCGUUAGUUUUAAUAAAAAACGUUAAGUGUGGACACGUGUCACCUUGUCAUUGGCUCUGAGAAUUUUUUUUUUACCAAAAAAAAAAAAAAAAUACUCAGAGCCAAUGACAAGGUGACACGUGUCUAUGAGUUAAUUUUUUUUUAAAACCUUAACGGAAACCUAACAGAAGGGACCAAAAACGAGACUAAAAAAAAAUUUAAAAUCCUCAAACAAUCUUUUUUUUAGUUAAGGGACCAAAGCGAUACCAAUUAAAUAGUUAAAGGACCAAAAGAGCAUUUAAGCCAUGAAUGUAUUAGAGUUAACAGGACCCAAAUGAAACUAAAAAAUAAGUUAAGGGACCAAAACGAGACCAAAAAAUAAAUUAAGGGACCAAAACAAAACUUUUAAUAGUUAAGGGACCAAAAGAUAACCCAAAAAUAAGUUAUGGGACCGAAACGAAACUUUUAAUAGUUAAGGAACCAAAACAAAAUUAAGUUAAGGGAUCAAAAGAGUAAUUAAGCCUAUAUGAUAUUAAGUGUCAUGAUAUAUUUCAAUUAAGGUGAGUUUUAACCGUACAAUGUUUAUUGUAUUCAACCACAUGUCACUUCUUACAACCUAGAUUAGUUGUUGCGUUGAUGCUAUUAACAAUUCAAUUUGAUAGCUGGCUUUUCUAGCCCCUUUAUUGGUCUCUUCAUGAAACAAUGUUUGGUGGUCUUUGUUGUUGUUUAUUGCUUCUAUUGAGUAAGUGGAUGGAAAUGACUUUUUUGUUUUUAUAUUUUUCGAAUCUGAAGUGACUUUAUUCUGGUGAGGUGUUAGGGGAACUUGAUUAAAGAGGAGCAGAGGAUUUUUCUAUAUCUUUUUGUACAUAUGAGGUGAUUUUAUUAGCAUUCUUCUAUGUCAGAAUUGAGUGCAAUGGUCCUGAUUUAGAUUUAUGUCUAAGAACCUGUGUGAAUGAGUUAAUAUCAUUUUCAAUAUCAAUUAAUUCCUAAUUUUUAUACACUAAGGAAGAGUAUUAAAGGUUUGGUAAACAAGGUCCAUGCGAUGAAUGUUACAAGUAUAAUUCAUGAGUUAUUCGUCGAGAACUUGAUCCUUGGAGACAACUAUUUUGCAGACUGUGUAUGAACUUACAAAUUCCAUAUCCUUGGUUUACUAAUGUGUGACAUGAAAUUUACUAAAGUUGGAAUGCUUUGAAUGAUUGUUUUGUAGUUUAAAAGAGCAUGAAAACAUAAUGACAAAGUAUGUGUUUGUAAUUAGGCACCCUGAUGUAAUUUCCUUUGCUGAAAUUGUUGUUACCAUCCCAAUUGUACUCUUAUUUGCC